rnacentral:rRNA from 1 species
AUUGAACGCUGGCGGCAGGCCUAACACAUGCAAGUCGAGCGGUAGCACAGAGAGCUUGCUCUCGGGUGACGAGCGGCGGACGGGUGAGUAAUGUCUGGGAAACUGCCUGAUGGAGGGGGAUAACUACUGGAAACGGUAGCUAAUACCGCAUAACGUCGCAAGACCAAAGUGGGGGACCUUCGGGCCUCAUGCCAUCAGAUGUGCCCAGAUGGGAUUAGCUAGUAGGUGGGGUAACGGCUCACCUAGGCGACGAUCCCUAGCUGGUCUGAGAGGAUGACCAGCCACACUGGAACUGAGACACGGUCCAGACUCCUACGGGAGGCAGCAGUGGGGAAUAUUGCACAAUGGGCGCAAGCCUGAUGCAGCCAUGCCGCGUGUGUGAAGAAGGCCUUCGGGUUGUAAAGCACUUUCAGCGGGGAGGAAGGCGGUGAGGUUAAUAACCUCAUCGAUUGACGUUACCCGCAGAAGAAGCACCGGCUAACUCCGUGCCAGCCGCCGCCGUAACAC